GAUGAACGCUGGCGGCGUGCCUAAUACAUGCAAGUCGAGCGAACAGACGAGAGUGCUUGCACUCUCUGACGUUAGCGGCGGACGGGUGAGUAACACGUGUGUAACCUACCUAUAAGACUGGGAUAACUUCGGGAAACCGGAGCUAAUACCGGAUAAUAUUUAGCUUCGCAUGAAGCAAUAGUGAAAGACGGUUCUGCUGUCACUUAUAGAUGGACCCGCGGUGUAUUAGCUAGUUGGUGAGGUAACGGCUCACCAAGGCAACGAUACAUAGCCGACCUGAGAGGGUGAUCGGCCACACUGGGACUGAGACACGGCCCAGACUCCUACGGGAGGCAGCAGUAGGGAAUCUUCCGCAAUGGACGAAAGUCUGACGGAGCAAUGCCGCGUGAGUGAAGAAGGUUUUCGGAUCGUAAAACUCUGUUGUAAGGGAAGAACAAGUACGUUAGUAACUGAACGUACCUUGACGGUACCUUACCAGAAAGCCACGGCUAACUACGUG
rnacentral:rRNA from 1 species